rnacentral:sRNA from 1 species
CCGUAGCCAUUUUGGCUCACG